rnacentral:rRNA from 1 species
UGGGGAAUAUUGGACAAUGGGCGAAAGCCUGAUCCAGCAAUGCCGCGUGAGUGAUGAAGGCCUUAGGGUUGUAAAGCUCUUUUACCCGGGAUGAUAAUGACAGUACCGGGAGAAUAAGCCCCGGCUAACUCCGUGCCAGCAGCCGCGGUAAUACGGAGGGGGCUAGCGUUGUUCGGAAUUACUGGGCGUAAAGCGUACGUAGGCGGCUUUGUAAGUUAGAGGUGAAAGCCCGGGGCUCAACCCCGGAAUUGCCUUUAAGACUGCUAGGCUUGAAUCAUGGAGAGGUGAGUGGAAUUCCGAGUGUAGAGGUGAAAUUCGUAGAUAUUCGGAAGAACACCAGUGGCGAAGGCGACUCACUGGACAUGUAUUGACGCUGAGGUACGAAAGCGUGGGGAGCAAACAGG